GCCUAGUUAGCUUAGUUGGUAGUGCGUCUGCCUUGUAAGCGCUAGGCCGCGGGUUCGAUUCCCGCCCCGGGCU
rnacentral:tRNA from 1 species